AUACGGAGGGUCCGAGCGUUAUCCGGAAUCAUUGGGUUUAAAGGGUCCGUAGGCGGGAAUCUAAGUCAGUGGUGAAAUCUUGCAGCUCAACUGUAAAAUUGCCAUUGAUACUGGAUUUCUUGAAUUAGUGUGAAGUGGUUAGAAUGUGUAGUGUAGCGGUGAAAUGCAUAGAUAUUACACAGAAUACCAAUUGCGAAGGCAGAUCACUAACACUAUAUUGACGCUAAGGGACGAAAGCGUGGGGAGCGAACAGGAGUAGAAACCCCAGUAGUCC
rnacentral:rRNA from 1 species